GGGGUUUUAAACUCAGCUGGGAGAGCGCCUGCCUUGCACGCAGGAGGUCAACGGUUCGAUCCCGUUAAGGCUCCACCA
rnacentral:tRNA from 1 species